rnacentral:rRNA from 1 species
GACGAACGCUGUUGGCGUGCCUAACACAUGCAAGUCGAGCGAAGUGAGUACUACGGUACGAACUUAGCGGCGGACGGGUGAGUAACGCGUGGACAAUCUACCCUGUAGACUGGGAUAACACCUCGAAAGGGGUGCUAAUACCGGAUAAUGUCGAGAAGCGGCAUCGCUUUUCGAAGAAAGGAGAGAAUCCGCUAUAGGGAGGAGUCCGCGUCCCAUUAGCUAGUUGGCGAGGGUAACGGCCCACCAAGGCGACGAUGGGUAGCCGGCCUGAGAGGGUGAACGACCACACUGGAACUGAGACACGGUCCAGACUCCUACGGGAGGCAGCAGUGGGGAAUAUUGUGCAAUGGGGGAAACCCUGACACAGCAACGCCGCGUGAGCGAAGAGGGCCUUCGGGUUGUAAAGCUCAAUAGUAUGGGAAGAUAAUGACGGUACCAUACGAAAGCCCCGGCUAACUACGUGCCAGCCGCCGCCGUAAUAC